UACGUAGGUGGCAAGCGUUGUCCGGAUUUACUGGGCGUACAGAGCGCGCAGGCGGUCGUGCAAGUCGCGUGUGAAAGCCCCCGGCUCAACUGGGGAGGGUCACGCGAUACUGCUCGACUCGAAGGCAGGAGAGGGAAGUGGAAUUCCCGGUGUAGUGGUGAAAUGCGUAGAUAUCGGGAGGAACACCAGUGGCGAAGGCGACUUCCUGGCCUGUUCUUGACGCUGAGGCGCGAAAGCUAGGGUAGCAAACGGG
rnacentral:rRNA from 1 species